GAUGAACGCUGGCGGCGUGCCUAAUACAUGCAAGUCGAGCGAACAGACGAGGAGCUUGCUCCUCUGACGUUAGCGGCGGACGGGUGAGUAACACGUGGAUAACCUACCUAUAAGACUGGGAUAACUUCGGGAAACCGGAGCUAAUACCGGAUCAUAUAUUGAACCGCAUGGUUCAAUAGUGAAAGACGGUUUUGCUGUCACUUAUAGAUGGAUCCGCGCCGCAUUAGCUAGUUGGUAAGGUAACGGCUUACCAAGGCAACGAUGCGUAGCCGACCUGAGAGGGUGAUCAGCCACACUGGAACUGAGACACGGUCCAGACUCCUACGGGAGGCAGCAGUAGGGAAUCUUCCGCAAUGGGCGAAAGCCUGACGGAGCAACGCCGCGUGAGUGAUGAAGGUCUUCGGAUCGUAAAACUCUGUUAUUAGGGAAGAACAAAUGUGGAAGUAACUAUGCACGUCUUGACGGCACCUAAUCAGAAAGCCACGGCUAACUACGUG
rnacentral:rRNA from 1 species